AGGCCCCUUCCUUUUUCCCCCAAACCUGCCCGGAAACCCCAUCCCAGCCUGCAAAAGUCCGCAUAACGCCGACUGUUCCCAAACUUCUCCUUGGAACCCCAGACCCCCAAAGUUGUUCUCCAGUUGCCCCGGGGCGCCUCCUCCGCCCGGACAGUCCACGCCUAGCGCCCGUGGUCCGCCAGCGGGGCCCGCGGGCUGGUGGCAGGAUCCUGCGGGACCCAGGGACGCCUGUGUCUGCGACCGAGAGCGCACGGCGUGGCCGGAGGCUGUUCUCCCAGAGACUCGGGGGCCUGCGGACCCUCCUAGACCAGGCGAAGCCCCAUCUGAGGCGCUGGCUCAGGCCCGAAGGAGUUGGAGUUGGAGGGAUGAAAAUCUGGGUCCGCCCUCCAGGGAAAGCGGGAAAUGUGCCGGGGAGGCGGGGGUAGCGGAGGAGAAGGUAUUUUCGAAAUAAUGACCAGGGCUUCCCCCUCUGUCGUAACCCGCGUCUCCUUGCCCAUCCCGUAUGAAGAUGAGGCCAAUUCUGGGCGUUUUAGUUCCCAAUUCCUAUCCCGAGGGACCACCCAGCGUGAAAGUCGUGGCAGGGGAAGGCCAGGUGUGCCCACUCCUAGCCCAGGUAAAGGUCCCCCGGGCUGGAGGUAGAGGCCCAGGGAGUGUAGAUGCUGCUGGGUUUCUGAGAAGAGGCAAUGCCCCUGCCCCACGCUUGAGCCAGUCCUGGAGAGGUUGGGGGUUGGAAAACGAAGGGGACCUUGGUACCGCCUUCCCAGGUAUAGUUAGGGACAUGGGACAUGGCUGUUAGGGGUGUGGGCUGAGGGGCGACGGAGACGGCCAAGUCUUAAGAGCCGUGCCCAGCACGGAGGAGGCGGGACUUCUGCCCUCGGGGCCACCGCAGCCUGGACAGGUGGGCAGCAGAGCAUCCAUCCCCCCGGCGCCUGGCCCGGCCGCCCAGUUGGACUCGGGGAUGUUGGCUUGCUAUGGCGCCCCCGUGUGGCGGCGGUGACAGGCAGCCGCAGGCCCACAGGGUAACUCAGGCUGGCCCUGCUGGGGUGAGGUGUGGAACGGAGCCACCAGGUCCCCUGUGGGCUGUGAAAGCUCCGGGGCUUGAGGGCAAUUUGGAGGGAGGAUGAGGCUGCAAGAAGGAGGGUGUGGAUUCCUGCGCACUGGAAGGUGGGUUGGGGUGGUUAGCUAGAAAAGAAAUGUGACGGCAUCACAUUUAGUAUCCAGUUUGUGGAACGGCUCCCUGAGAUUACACAGUGCAUCGCACUGUCUGAAGAGGACUUUCUCUUGCCUUGUCUCUCCAGACCCCUGGAACAAUGGUACUGUUAGCAACAGCAAAUCCAUAUGGGUCUGCAGCAGCCUCAGUUCUUGCCUCCUCAGAAGAAAGAAUUCGACUGAGGGGCGUAAGGCAGAGUGAGAGGCAAGUUUUAGAGCAGGAGUGAAAAUGUAUUUAAAAGUUUUAGAGGCCGGGCGCAGUGGCUCACGCCUGUAAUCCCAGCACUUUGGGAGGCCGAGGCGGGCGGAUCACGAGGUCAGGAGAUCGAGACCAUCCUGGCUAACACGGAGAAACCCCAUCUCUACUAAAAAUACAAAAAAUUAGCUGGGCGUGGUGGCGGGCGCCUGUAGUCCCAGCUACUGGGGAGGCUGAGGCAGGAGAAUGGCGUGAACCCGGGAGGCGGAGCUUGCAGUGAGCCGAGAUUGCGCCACUGCACUCCAGCCUGGGUGACAGAGCGAGACUCCGUCUCAGAAAAAAAAAAAAAAAAAAAAAAAAAAAAAGUUUUGGAGUAGGCAUGAAAGGAAGUAAAGUAUACUUAGAAGAGGGCCAAGCAGGUGACUUGAGAGAGGCAAGUGUGUGGCUUGACCUUUGACUCGGGGUUUUGUAGGUUGGCAUGCUCCCGGGGGGUUGCAUCUCUCUUCGCCCCUGAUUCUUCCCUUGGGGCGGGCUGUCUGCGUGCGCGGUGGCCUGUCAGCACCUGGGAGGGGCCGAAUGCACAGCUGUGUUUACUGAAGUUAUGUGCGCGCUCAUUUGAGGUGUUUUUCCCUUACCGGUGUUCCUAGAGGAAGGUCAUCUACCAGUUAAUCGCUGCCAUUUUGCCUCUUAGUGUGCAUGCUUGAGCCCACUCGCCCAGCUCCUGAGAUCUUAUCGGGAAGCUGAUCACCAGCUUCAGGUGUUUCCAUCUGUUGGGAGACUGCCUCUCCCUGGCACUGGCUGCGACCAAUUAUUAUUUGAGAGAAGCAGUUUAUCAACUGCCUGACCAUCAUCUGAUGGCCACUUGACAUUCCUCGUUGGGGGAGGGCCCUCUCCUGCCCUGCUCAUGUCUGCCUGACUACCUACUGUCACAGUUCCUUGAGGGAAGAGCCAGGUCCUGAACAGCUCCAGGCACAGCCUGGAGCCCCACAGAAAGCAGGUGUAGAGCAGCAUCAGGGAGCAGUGGUCAGCGUGAACCUCUCCAAAUACGGCUAAGGAGAGGAGUGGGCAUACGUCUUCUCUGACACAUCGGGCAGCACCAGUGAUCUCUGGCUCAACAUGACCAUGGCUUACCCCAGGAGCAGCACUUCCAGAGCAGUUGCCGUUCCCAUCUGUGAGCCAACAGUCUCCCCUCUCCCUAGGCACCAAGCCCACAGCUGUCCCAUCACCACCUCAUUUGAUGCUCCCAGCUAUCCUGUGAUCAGGUAAGGGAACACAGGCUGCAUACCAAGGCUCCAGGUCCCAGGGCUGAAAGCCCUUUUCCUGGGUGGGCAGCGCUGCCUGGAAGCACGUGGCCAACCACCUGCUCCUUCACUGGAGGGUCUGGAGUAAGCUAUCCAAUGUGGCAGCCAUUGGCCACAUGUGGCUUUCUGGUACUUGACAUGUGGCUAGUCCAAUUGAGAUGUGCUAUGUGUAAGAUACACACCAGAUAUCAUAGAUUAAUACCAAAAAAGAAUGGAAAAAAAAGGUCACCAGGCACAGUGGCUCACAACUGUAAUCCCAGCACUUUGGGAGGUGGAGGCAAUAGAUCUUUUGAGAACAGUAGCUCAAGACCAGCCUGGGCAACAUAGGGAGACCACUUCUCUACAAAAAAUGAAAACAAACAAACAAACAAAAAAACUGGCCAGGCAUGGUGGCAUAUGCCUGUGGUCUCAGCUACUCAGGAGGCUGAGGUGGAGGGAUCACUUGAGCCUGGGAGUUUGAGGCUGCAGUGAACAGUGAUGGG
rnacentral:lncRNA from 1 species